rnacentral:rRNA from 1 species
GAACGAGUUCACUUUGGUAUCACUACCGACUCGAAGCUAGUGGCGAACGGGUGCGUAACACAUGAGUCAUCUGCCCAGAAGUGGGGAAUAUCUCGGCGAAAGCCGGAUUAAUACCGCAUGUGGUCGUAAGACCAAAGCCGGGGCAACCUGGCGCUUUUGGAGGAGCUCGUGGCCUAUCAGCUAGUUGGUGAGGUAACGGCUUACCAAGGCAACGACGGGUAUCUGGUCUGAGAGGAUGGUCAUCCACUCUGGGACUGAGACACGGUCCAUACUCCUACGGGAGGCAUCAGUUAUGAAAGUUUCACAAUGGGCGCAAGCCUGAUGGAGUAACGCCGCGUGGAGGAUGACGGCCUUCGGGUUGUAAACUCCUUUUCUGGGGGAAGAGCAUACUAUUGUACCCCAUGAAGAAUCCUCGGCUAACUACGUGCCAGCAGCCGCGGUAAU